AGCAGGGGCUCGGGGUGCACUGGAGGAUGGGACUGCCAUACGUAAAUAGACCUGGAGUGAAACAACACCAUUCCAGCAGGACAGUCCAUCUGCAGAAGACAACUCACUGACGCACAGCUGAUCUGACAGACCACCAUAAAACCAGAUGGCAGACUAACACAUCUGUGCCAGUGUUUACAACCUACAUGUCAACCACUGGAAACAUCCAAUAAAUCAUAAAGGUCUUGUGAAAGAAAAACAAGCAGAUGUACACAGUGUGACUAAAACUGAUCUUAAAAACAAAUGA